rnacentral:tRNA from 1 species
GGGGAUUUAGCUCAGGGGCAUAAGCACCUGCCUUGCAAGCAGGUGGCCGUGAGUUUGAUCCCCG